rnacentral:rRNA from 1 species
UACGUAGGUGGCGAGCGUUAUCCGGAAUGACUGGGCGUAAAGGGUGCGUAGGUGGUUUGACAAGUUGGUAGCGCAACUCCGGGGCUCAACCUCGGCACUACUACCAAAACUGUUGAACUUGAGUGCAGGAGGGGCAAAUGGAAUUCCUAGUGUAGCGGUGGAAUGCGUAGAUAUUAGGAGGAACACCAGUGGCGAAGGCGAUUUGCUGGACUGUAACUGACGCUGAGGCAUGAGAGCAUGGGGAGCAAACAGG